CGCAUCUGUGCAUGCAGCAUAUCAAUAGCGGAGGAAAAGAAACUAACAAGGAUUCCCCUAGUAACGGCGAGUGAAGCGGGAAGAGCUCAAAUUUGAAAUCUUAAAGGGUUUCCCUUUACGAAUUGUAGUUUAAAGAAGGUGUUUUCUGUUGAGGUUUUGGUAAAAGUUCUUUGGAAUAGGACAUCAUAGAGGGUGAGAAUCCCGUAUUUGACCUUUACUUUCAGCUUUGUGAUACACUUUCAAAGAGUCGGAUUGUUUGGGAAUGCAGUCCAAGAUGGGUGGUAAAUUUCAUCUAAAGCUAAAUAUUGGCGAGAGACCGAUAGCGAACAAGUACCGUGAGGGAAAGAUGAAAAGAACUUUGAAAAGAGAGUUAAACAGUACGUGAAAUUGUCAAAAGGGAAGCGUUUGACACCAGUGUUGUUUUUCUGAAAAUCAAUUAAAGAACUGUUUAUGCUAAGUUGUUUAGACUUUAUCAGCUAUCUGUUUAGUUUUGAGCUUUUCUUUAAUGCACUUUUCAGUUAACAAGUCAACAUCAAUUUCUUUUGCUGUAAAAAGGCUUGAGGAAGGUGGCUUGAGAUUCGUCUUAAGUGUUUAUAGCCUCUUGCCUAUGCAGUCGGAGAGAUUGAGGUCUGCAGCGUAGAUCCUUCGGGGCUAAAUGCAUUUGUGCUAAGUUAUAGCAUUUUAUAGACAACUUGUUGACUAUGAUUUGUCUUGUAGCUUACUCGCUUAUGUUAUUUUACCUACGCUUAGGAUGUUGAAGAUGUAGCACAUCAU
rnacentral:rRNA from 1 species